UACGUAGGGUGCAAGCGUUUGUCCGGAAUUAUUGGGCGUAAAGAGCUCGUAGGCGGUCUGUCGCGUCGGCUGUGAAAACCCGGAGCUCAACUCCGGGCCUGCAGUCGAUACGGGCAGACUGGAGUUCGGCAGGGGAGACUGGAAUUCCUGGUGUAGCGGUGAAAUGCGCAGAUAUCAGGAGGAACACCGGUGGCGAAGGCGGGUCUCUGGGCCGUAACUGACGCUGAGGAGCGAAAGCGUGGGGAGCAAACAGG
rnacentral:rRNA from 1 species